UCCAUUCUUUCUACGAACAAACCCUCGGCUGCGUCAGCGGAUCGCAGAGAAGAAGAGGAAGCGGAGAGAUCGGGUUCCCGGAGGGAUGGAGACGACGGCGACGCUGCCGCCGCGGGGAGCGGAGGGGGAUGAGGAGGUGAUGCUUGCGGCGCCGAGUUUCCGGAGGAUUUCAAUCGAUUGGGAGGAGGAUGGCGGCGGCGACGGUGGCGAUGGCGAUGGCGAUGACGACGCCGGCGAUGACGAGGAGUUCGAGUUUGCAGUUCCGGCGGUGGACUCCUUCGAGGGGCUUCGGCCUGCUUCCGCCGAGGAGAUCUUCUCCAACGGCC
rnacentral:lncRNA from 1 species